rnacentral:lncRNA from 1 species
GGCGGGACCCAUUACUCUGCGCAAAAGUGGUCCAGGAACCGCGUCUGUCUUCAUUGCCAGGUGGCAGAGAAUAUCACAGAGCCAGCCCCUCAGGCUUCAUAAAUAGUGUUUUAAGGAUGCAUUGACGAGAAUUGACAUUUAGUGAGAGUUCAUCCUCUGCCCGACAUUGCUAUUAAUAACCUGAGUUCUCCCGUUGAAUGAAUGGAGUCUGGAGUCCCAACUGCCCAGUCGUUAUUAGAUACACAUUGGGAAGAUGAGGACGUUUUUUCAGAGGAGAUGAGGGGCAUGCCCACAAUGACUUCGCUAAACUGGAUAGGGAGAGAGUGGAAGGGAGAUGAUUUUAGCUGAGGAACUGGCGUCUGAGGAAGGGAAGGUUAGGUAUGGGUGGAGCAGCAACUGCAGUGCAGUCUAACGGUAGGCUAAAAGAAACCUGGAUAGUAGGAACAUCAAGCUACGAUGGGACCUGGCUUCUGAACACAGUGUCAUUUACCAAGCGAGGGUGAUGUAAGAGAAGGACGCAUGAGUGAAUCCACUGACAACGGUCCCAGAGGCUGCUGAUGGAGGCCCGAAGAUUCUUCUAGAAGCCAGACAGAGAGAGAGACAGAGAGACAGAGAGAGAGAAAACAGAUAAAUAUCCCCAUUCUCCCUCCAUCAGCCCACCCUGGUGUAAUGUGUCAUAAAUAAUCUUGCAGAGUAAGAACAGACCUGCUGCACACAGGCUGCUGAGAUUUCUAAGGGCACCAUCCUAGAGGCUGGCCAGGCUGAGACAGGGCUAACGAGGAAGCUGAGCUUGGCUGAAGAUGCCCUUCUGCUUCGUGGCAUAGGACGCAGCCAAUCUUGGGUGGGGACCCGGCCUUUCUAGUCUCCUGUCUGUGAAAGCAUCUGCUUUCAAGUGUUGAGAGGAGCUGGGAAGAGCAUUUCUUUCCUGAUGAGGGAUGCUGGUGGCGGCUAGAGUACAUACAACUUUGUCAUAAAUUUGUGAUACACUGUGUAGAGGUCUUGCGCAUUCCCAACAUCUCUUUAAAAUACCAUAUGACGUGCUGUUGAGAUACCGUGUCAG